CAAGACUGGGCCUUGUUUAUAGGCAGGAAGUAAGAUAUUUUGCAUCGGAGCAUAAACAUGUUCCAUUUCCCAGUUAUCAUAAAAUUGCUGAUUGUUCUUUCUGGAAAUUGUCUGCUUGUUUUUAUCUGCAGGACACGCAUUUUGAAUGUUUCUGUCUGUGGUCAUGCUGUGGUAACGAGAUGCUUCCACCUCAAGGCACUCAGUAACAAAUACCAGCAUAAUUAGCCUGAAGACACUUAGAGCUUCCUCCUGUUUAGGCCCUACACAAGGACAGAAAGUAUUUGCCAUCUUCCCUAGAAAUCCAAAAAGAACAUAUGGGAUAUCAGGAAAUGGAUGAAUCAGAACCCUCCAGAGGCAAAGUUCAGUUGGGGAAAAAUUCCAAGAUAUGGAGAGCAGAUAUCAAUGAACAUAAACAAUACUGCUGUGAGAAGAGAGAGCUGGGACUACUCAAGGCUCACAUGAGUUCCUAUAGGAGAGGUUGGCUUCUGUGGCAUCUGUUACGGAGUGAAACUAUGAAUUUCAAACAUCACUUCCAGCAUCUGGGCUUCAUGCAUAUGUGUGCUGAGUGA
rnacentral:lncRNA from 1 species